rnacentral:lncRNA from 1 species
UCCAAUUAUGAACUUGCCCCUCGUAUGCCACCACCAUCCUCUACUCCGUCACAAAAAUCAUUUGUUGGGGGUAGGAAUUCAUUGACAGAUUGGAACGAACAUGAAACAGUUGUACUUCUAGAUGCCUGGGGCGAACGGUUUCUCCAGCAUGGAAGGAAAAGUCUCCGAUCCGAGGAAUGGCAAGAGGUUGCUGAGAAGGUAUCGGAGGUCUCUAAGAUUGACAGGACUGACACACAGUGUCGUAACCGUCUAGAUACCUUGAAGAAGAAGUAUAAAAAGGAAAAGUCGAAAUCAACAGAAAUGGGAGGACCUACAAGCAAGUGGGUUUACUUCAAGAAGAUGGACAUGUUAAUGUCUUCACCUCCAAACCAAGGUGGCCUAUCAUGUGGGUUAGAUUCAGGGGAGUAUGUGUUCAUGAACCCUAGAGCUUAUCUGAAUCGUGCAAACGGGUUGGAUGAGAUGAGAGAUAGCCCUGAUAACUCAGAAUCUGAUGAUUGCGAGGAUGACGA